rnacentral:rRNA from 1 species
GGCUCAGAACGAACGCUGGCGGCGUGGCUAAGACAUGCAAGUCGCGGGGUGAAAAUGAUCCGUAGCAAUACGGUGAAACACGACCGGCGCAAGGGUGAGUAAUGGAUGGGUAACGUACCCUGGACACGGGGAUAGCCGUCCGAAAGGACGAUUAAUACCCGAUGAUGUCCCGACCCCUCAUGAGGUUGGGACCAAACGCUGGGGACCGCAAGGCCUAGCGGUCUGGGAUCGGCCCAUUUCCUAUCAGCUAGUUGGUGAGGUAACGGCCCACCAAGGCAUCGACGGGUAGCGGGACUGAGAGGUUGGCCCGCCACAUUGGCACUGAGACACUGGCCAGACUCCUACGGGAGGCUGCAGUAACGGAUCUUCCGCAAUGGGCGAAAGCCUGACGGAGCGACGCCGCGUGCAGGAGGAAGCCCUUCGGGGUGUAAACUGCUGUCAGGGGUAAGCAAGCGACCCGGGUGAACAAUCCGGGAAGUUGAGCUAUCCCAGAGGAAGCCACGGCUAACUCUGUGCCAGCAGCCGCGGUAAUACAGAGGUGGCAAGCGUUGUUCGGAAUCACUGGGCUUAAAGGGCGCGUAGGCGGUCGGAAGGGUGUCUUGUGAAAUCCCUCGGCUUAACCGAGGAACUGCGAGGCAAACCGUUCGACUUGAGGCAGGUAGGGGCCGGUGGAACUCUGGGUGGAGCGGUGAAAUGCGUAGAUAUCCAGGGGAACGCCAACGGUGAAAACAGCCGGCUGGGCCUGUCCUGACGCUGAGGCGCGAAAGCCAGGGGAGCAAACGGGAUUAGAUACCCCGGUAGUCCUGGCCCUAAACGAUGUCCACUGGGUUUGAGAAUCUCUGACGGUUCUCGGGCCGAAACAAAAGUGCUAAGUGGACCGCCUGGGGAGUACGGCCGCAAGGCUAAA